rnacentral:rRNA from 1 species
CCUACGGGAGGCAGCAGUGGGGAAUAUUGCACAAUGGGGGGAACCCUGAUGCAGCGACGCCGCGUGAGUGAAGAAGUAUUUCGGUAUGUAAAGCUCUAUCAGCAGGGAAGAAAAUGACGGUACCUGACUAAGAAGCCCCGGCUAACUACGUGCCAGCAGCCGCGGUAAUACGUAGGGGGCAAGCGUUAUCCGGAUUUACUGGGUGUAAAGGGAGCGCAGACGGCUGUGCAAGUCUGGAGUGAAAGGCGGUGGCCCAACCCCCGGACUGCUCUGGAAACUGUACAGCUGGAGUGCAGGAGAGGUAAGCGGAAUUCCUAGUGUAGCGGUGAAAUGCGUAGAUAUUAGGAGGAACACCAGUGGCGAAGGCGGCUUACUGGACUGCAACUGACGUUGAGGCUCGAAAGCGUGGGGAGCAAACAGGAUUAGAUACCCUAGUAGUC